AUGAACGCUGGCGGCGUGCCUAAUACAUGCAAGUCGAGCGAACGGACGAGAAGCUUGCUUCUCUGAUGUUAGCGGCGGACGGGUGAGUAACACGUGGAUAACCUACCUAUAAGACUGGGAUAACUUCGGGAAACCGGAGCUAAUACCGGAUAAUAUUUUGAACCGCAUGGUUCAAAAGUGAAAGACGGUCUUGCUGUCACUUAUAGAUGGAUCCGCGCUGCAUUAGCUAGUUGGUAAGGUAACGGCUUACCAAGGCAACGAUGCAUAGCCGACCUGAGAGGGUGAUCGGCCACACUGGAACUGAGACACGGUCCAGACUCCUACGGGAGGCAGCAGUAGGGAAUCUUCCGCAAUGGGCGAAAGCCUGACGGAGCAACGCCGCGUGAGUGAUGAAGGUCUUCGGAUCGUAAAACUCUGUUAUUAGGGAAGAACAUAUGUGUAAGUAACUGUGCACAUCUUGACGGUACCUAAUCAGAAAGCCACGGCUAACUACGUGCCAGCAGCCGCGGUAAUACGUAGGUGGCAAGCGUUAUCCGGAAUUAUUGGGCGUAAAGCGCGCGUAGGCGGUUUUUUAAGUCUGAUGUGAAAGCCCACGGCUCAACCGUGGAGGGUCAUUGGAAACUGGAAAACUUGAGUGCAGAAGAGGAAAGUGGAAUUCCAUGUGUAGCGGUGAAAUGCGCAGAGAUAUGGAGGAACACCAGUGGCGAAGGCGACUUUCUGGUCUGUAACUGACGCUGAUGUGCGAAAGCGUGGGGAUCAAACAGGAUUAGAUACCCUGGUAGUCCACGCCGUAAACGAUGAGUGCUAAGUGUUAGGGGGUUUCCGCCCCUUAGUGCUGCAGCUAACGCAUUAAGCACUCCGCCUGGGGAGUACGACCGCAAGGUUGAAACUCAAAGGAAUUGACGGGGACCCGCACAAGCGGUGGAGCAUGUGGUUUAAUUCGAAGCAACGCGAAGAACCUUACCAAAUCUUGACAUCCUUUGACAACUCUAGAGAUAGAGCUUUCCCCUUCGGGGGACAAAGUGACAGGUGGUGCAUGGUUGUCGUCAGCUCGUGUCGUGAGAUGUUGGGUUAAGUCCCGCAACGAGCGCAACCCUUAAGCUUAGUUGCCAUCAUUAAGUUGGGCACUCUAAGUUGACUGCCGGUGACAAACCGGAGGAAGGUGGGGAUGACGUCAAAUCAUCAUGCCCCUUAUGAUUUGGGCUACACACGUGCUACAAUGGACAAUACAAAGGGCAGCGAAACCGCGAGGUCAAGCAAAUCCCAUAAAGUUGUUCUCAGUUCGGAUUGUAGUCUGCAACUCGACUACAUGAAGCUGGAAUCGCUAGUAAUCGUAGAUCAGCAUGCUACGGUGAAUACGUUCCCGGGUCUUGUACACACCGCCCGUCACACCACGAGAGUUUGUAACACCCGAAGCCGGUGGAGUAACCUUUUAGGAGCUAGCCGUCGAAGGUGGGACAAAUGAUUGGGGUGAAGUCGUAACAAGGUAGCCGUAUCGGAAGGUGCGGCUGGAUCACCUCCUUUCUAA
rnacentral:rRNA from 2 species